AAGGGGCAGUAAGGCAUGGGUAACCUACCUUUGGGUUCGGGAUAGCCAUCAGAGAUGGUGGGUAAUACCGGAUGACGUCGUGAGACCAAAGAUUCAUCGCCCUCAGAGGGGCCCAUGUGAUAUUAGCUAGUUGGUGAGGUAACGGCUCACCAAGGCGAAGAUGUCUAGCGGGUGUGAGAGCACGACCCGCGCCACUCGCACUGAGACACUGGCGAGACACCUACGGGUGGCUGCAGUCGAGGAUCUUCGGCAAUGGGCGCAAGCCUGACCGAGCGACGCCGCGUGAGCGAUGAAGGCCUUCGGGUUGUAAAGCUCUUUAGUGGGGGAGAAAAGCCGAAAGGUGUGAUCUAUCCCAAAAAUAAGCACGGGCUAAGUUCGUGCCAGCAGCCGCGGUAAGACGAACCGUGCGAACGUUGUUCGGAAUCACUGGGCUUAAAGGGCGCGUAGGCGGGCUGUCAAGUCUGGGGUGAAAUCCCACGGCUCAACCGUGGAACGGCCUCAGAUACUGACGGCCUCGAGGAAGGUAGGGGCAUGCGGAACUGUAGGU
rnacentral:rRNA from 1 species